rnacentral:other from 2 species
AUUCCCCUGCGAUGUGCGUGAUUAACAAAAUCCUUUGAGCUAACACCUAAUCACGGGGAGCCCUCCCUGGUCGGACGUGUGCAGGUUCCCGAGAGGAAAGCCUGACUCCACACACAGGGCACCCACCUUGUUGACAAGGUUCAAGGUUAUUCGUUAACACGGCAUAGGCGGGGGAUUC